UACGUAGGCAGCGAGCGUUGUUCGGAAUUACUGGGCGUAAAGAGUGUGUAGGCGGUGCUCUAAGUUUGGUGUGAAAUCUCCCGCUUAACUGGGAGGGUGCGCCGAAAACUGCGGGGCUGGAGUGUGGGAGAGGUAAGCGGAAUUCCUGGUGUAGCGGUGAAAUGCGUAGAUAAUCAGGAGGAACACCGGCGGUGUAGACGGCUUACUGGACCAUGACUGACGCUGAGGCACGAAAGCGUGGGGAGCAAACAGG
rnacentral:rRNA from 1 species